GUGUGUGUGUGUGUGUUGGAGCAGCGACGGCACUGCAAGGCGUUUUUCCAGGGCUUUUGGAGAAAAAUAAGUAAAAUACCUGCCCGAGGUUGUCGCUUUGAUAACCCAUGUGUGAGUGGGUAACUGUGUAUCUGCCAAAUGUGGUCGUCUAAAUACAUUUAAGCAGCACAGAAGUGUCGUAUGUUUUUUCUGCGAGUAGCUCUUUCCAGUUGUUUCCCGUGCCGUUAAUGUGGCAUGGUUAUUACGGCAACGGGAGGACAGUCGCACACGAAGAGAAGGGGGUCUGGGCUGUUCGCUAAUCCUGGCAAGUGGAACUCUCGUCAGCCCAAGCAGCGUCCAGCAAGGUCGGAGCCUCCGGGCGUGGGUGAAACACCCUCCUUCAGAACUACUGAACUAAGGUAACUCAGAGCUCUAACCAGCCCCCUUUUAUUUUCAUUUUGUUGGCUCUACGGAGUGAAGCGGCCAGUGUUUUUACUGUUUUAAGGCCACCACGCACACAAGGCACGAAAACAGGCCUGCAACUGGUUCAGACACUAAGCAAAGUGGGUUUUUAGCUGGCAUUGCAUGCUAGCUAUAUAGUACCAACGAUUUGUUUCACUGAGUUAGUACAACAAACAGGUACAGGUGUGAAUUUUGGUUCAUUCUGGGAAUAUAUUUCAGUGUGUUGUGUAACCUGAAUAUUGUUCAUAUAAUUGCUCCAUAACCAAAUUCUAAUGUUAUUAAUUUGUCUGAAUACUUUCCCCCCAUCAGCUUAGUUUUCAUAAACAUAUUUCAACUUAUGAAGACAUAAUUUUUGUUCAUGUUUAUAAGUACAAAGUCAAAAUACAUUAUGCCUAUAGAUGGAUAUAUAUACCAGACCUUUAUUAAAAUAAUGACAAACAAAAAUGUGUGCAAAUAUAUUUCCCCUCACUGUAUAGUAACUAAACAGUAGUAGAAACUUGUACUUUUGUCCAUUUUCACACUGUGUCCUACAGUUUCAGAAAUCACAAAAUCACGAAUGUUUGAGAUUAAUGUCCUUUCUAAUGAAUGGUCAACUGUAAAUAAAAAGUUGUCAGGUUGGACUGUUUCUGAACAGUUGAACAGUCAGACUAGAUGAAUACAAGGACACCAUGACGUCAUACAUCGGUUUCUGCAAGGACGGCAUUUAAACUACAGCAUGGGUGACAUCAACGAUAAACAAUGCUUUACAGAUAAACCUCAGACAACCUCAGAGGGCAAAGAAGGCAGCACUCAGGAGUGGGGACAGAGUGACACCUACAGAAUGAGAUUAAAACAAAUAAGCAGAUUACAGCAACGAAAUGCUUAGAAAAGAUAAAAUGCUGCUAUCAGCCUGACUUCUGUCUGGAAAGACUGCCAAUAGAUGACCAACUAUAAUGUGAGAAAACUCCCCUUCUCCUGAAUGCUUGUCAACUCGCCCACAACCUGAAUGAGUUCUGCUGAAAAUUAAAUGUGCAAACAGUCUUCAUCCUUUCUUGGAUGACUACAGGCCAGUAUCUCUGACCUCUGCAAUGAUAAAGGUCUUGGAAUGCCUGUUCCAGGCCACCUGAAGCCCAUUAUGAACCCUCUGCUGGAUCUCCUAUCUGUUGAUGGUGCAGUCAGCUUGGCCCUGCGUCUCAAGUUUUCAACAGCAUAGAGCCAAAGCUACUACAGGUCAAACUGUCCAAGGCCAACUGUGCCAGAAUCCACCUGCUUGUGGAUUUUGGAUUGCUGGUGGUUUCCUGAUGAAUAAGUGACCACAGGUGCAGCUUUGAAAAGACACAUCAUUCCCCUACUACUGGACUUUCUCCAAAGAGCCAGCUGUGAAGAUCCUAAAGUUUGCAGAUGACACCACAAUGGUGGGCCUCAAAGCCAAUGGUGAUGAGUCUUCCUAAAGAAAGGAAGUCAACCACCUAAUGUUGAACAUGCAAAAGGCUGUAGAGAUGAUUGUGGGUUUCAGAUGUAAUGUUAUUUUUACAGAUGUUCAUAACAUUCUGUAAUAUUCUGCAUAUAAUAGUUAUAUUAUGUCUCUAGUCCUGCAAUUGUGUAGAAAUUCAUAUCCAGAUAUGCACUGUUAUCAUAUACUUAUCUCUUUAGUUCGUUUUUAAAGACUUAAAAAUAAAAAGUUGAAUGAGUUAACAACUUGAUCAAUUUUGAGGAAAGUGAUUUAGGCAAGAUUCUAAUUAGCUUUAAUUGUUAGAUACAUUAGCACUGCAAGCUCAAAUAAACUAUACUGCAAAACGUCAGACAUCUAAUGUCUCGACUGAUCAUCAUCAUGUAACAAUCAACGAUCAACAAUCAUGUAAAUUUGACUCCCUUUUUGGCUAAACUGUCAUUUAAGACACUUCCAUGGAAAUCAAUUCCACAAAGUCAGGCAAGGUGUGUGAAUGUCUGUUUAGCAAAAUAUAUCUGUUUAGCAUGUCCAGCAAUAACUAAAGGCAGAGAAAUCUGACAUAAUCUCACCAAAUGGAGCUGUCUCUGAGAAAGGGAAGAUGUUGCAGUAAUGUCCUGUCUGAUAAGUGAGCUUUCUCCUUCUCUCUUCGCCCAUCCCAGCGUAAUAAGAGUUGACACCUAUUUGUGACAUAUGACUGUAUCACAGAUUGCUUUAGGCAUGAUAGCAUCUCCUAUCCUCUUUCUGGCUGAGCUGUCCAUAGCUAGAAGGAAAAUGUGUUUGUGGGUGUGUGUGUGUGUGUGUGUUUGUCUAAAGGAAUACUCCAGCGUCAUCAUGUAUGUACUCCGUGUGUGUGUGUGUGUGUAUAUAUGAAUAAAAAUAUCCAUUUGCAAAUCAAACGAUGAAACAGAAUCCACAGUCCAGUCCUCAGCAUCCUUCAGUUUGUUUGGAAUUACUUAGAUUGAAAAUUCAUAUCAAGGCAUAUUUCUUUGAAAACCUCAAAGCAAGUGGCCUGUAAAUAUGUAUGAAAGUUGUAAUAAAGCUGUAAGAAAGGCGAAGACUGGACACAAUAAAUACUGAAAAAAAAAACUGUUUAGUUGUUGAAGCCUCUACGUAAUUUGCUGUUAAAUAUUUGCUUUCUGCCUUUUUUCCUGAUACAGAAA